rnacentral:rRNA from 1 species
GAUUAAGUUAUUAAGGGCGCACGGUGGAUGCCUUGGCACUAGAAGCCGACGAAGGACGUUACUAACGACGAUAUGCUUUGGGGAGCUGUAAGUAAGCUUUGAUCCAGAGAUUUCCGAAUGGGGAA